UUACGGAAGGCAGCAGUGGGGAAUAUUGCACAAUGGGCGCAAGCCUGAUGCAGCGACGCCGCGUGGGGGAUGACGGCCUUCGGGUUGUAAACCUCUUUCAGCAGGGACGAAGCGCAAGUGACGGUACCUGCAGAAGAAGCACCGGCCAACUACGUGCCAGCAGCCGCGGUAAUACGUAGGGUGCGAGCGUUGUCCGGAAUUACUGGGCGUAAAGAGCUCGUAGGUGGUUUGUCGCGUUGUUCGUGAAAUCUCACGGCUUAACUGUGAGCGUGCGGGCGAUACGGGCAGACUAGAGUACUGCAGGGGAGACUGGAAUUCCUGGUGUAGCGGUGGAAUGCGCAGAUAUCAGGAGGAACACCGGUGGCGAAGGCGGGUCUCUGGGCAGUAACUGACGCUGAGGAGCGAAAGCGUGGGGAGCGAACAGGAUUAGAUACCCGUGUAGUCCU
rnacentral:rRNA from 1 species